UUCGGAUUUGGUGCUUAAAACUUCUUGAAACUGUAACCGUAUUUCAUUCACCACAAAGAACUAUCUGAUUGAAUAGUUUUCUUAUCAGAUAGAGAAAUAAAACGAGUCGCAAAGUCUAAAAGCAACAUUUGUCUGCCUGGGCUGUACCUCUGCACGUUAGUCUGUUUCAGUGUGUGACCCCCCACCCCCUCCCUGAUCAGUCGGGGGUGAGUGCGCUAAUGUGCCUGGAGGCCGUUUUAAUGAGUGUUUGCUGGAAAACGAAAAAUACAAGAAGGAUUUGUACGUUUUCACAACGGGGGAGUUUGCUAAACUUUGACCACUUCCAGAUACUGCGGGCCAUCGGGAAAGGAAGCUUUGGAAAGGAGAAGCGUGGAGACGAGAGGGCAGCGAGCACGGGGUGCUCAGACACUGAGGAGCGGAGACAAGGAACACUAGCACUGGGAAGAGGACAUUUCACGGGAGUCGGGAACGCACUGCGGAUUUAUUGUUAUUUUCCAUUCACUGUAAAUAAACGCACUGCUUGCAUUCAGAGCUCCGUGCCUGGCUCCUCCUUCCUC